UACGAAGGGGGCUAGCGUUGCUCGGAAUCACUGGGCGUAAAGCGCACGUAGGCGGGUUGGUAAGUCGGGGGUGAAAUCCUGGAGCUCAACUCCAGAACUGCCUUCGAUACUGGCGACCUUGAGUCCGGGAGAGGUGAGUGGAACUCCGAGUGUAGAGGUGAAAUUCGUAGAUAUUCGGAAGAACACCAGUGGCGAAGGCGGCUCACUGGCCCGGUACUGACGCUGAGGUGCGAAAGCGUGGGGAGCAAACAGG
rnacentral:rRNA from 1 species